rnacentral:lncRNA from 1 species
CAUCCAAGAUCUUUCAGCAUAAGUUUAAAUGGUUGCCAAGGACGUAGUUUCCAGCAGAUUGUAAGUGUUAAUAUUUUAAAAGAAAAGUACACAUCACUUUGAAAUGUGUCUUGGUAGAAUCAACAUCUAGACAAUUUGAAACAUUUUCAUCCACUUAAAAUAUACAUGAAAACUCUCUCUUACAUAACACCUGGAAAUGGUAUGUUCUUUAUUUGUAUCUUUUCCAUUUGCCACAUAAUUUUAUCCUCGUGGAGUUUAUUUUUAUCCUUAAAUCUUUAAUUAACCACACUGUUAGGCUUCCCAGCAACAAAAUAGGUUUACAAACUGUGUUGCUGGCUGGAAUUUGGAAGGAGGAUGGAAGAUAGAUUUAUGGUCCAAGGGAGUGAAGCAUCCCCAGGAUUGGUUCAGUGUCAUGCUCUGUGGGAGGAGCAAACCGCAGGAUGCCCAGGACCUAGAUCUUCCACUGGUUUAUCCGCAGUGCCCAAGCUGCAGGGUCUUAACGGGGGAGAGCAGGAGGCAAGUAAAAAUAGAAAGUGCUGUUAUGGGGCAAAACUCUCUGUAAGACUUUGAGAACAAAGCAGCACCACCUUGGCCUAAAGGGUGAGUGUGGCCUGAAAGUGGGAAAAAAAGAUCUGUCCUUACACUUCAGCGAGUCCAUUUCUGAGUGUCAUGGACACUGUGAGACUGUGAUCCUGAGAAACAGCAGGCACAUCAGCAUUUGUAGCCUGACUCCGAUAGUGGCUGCCACACAGAGGCUGGCGGAGCUCACGCCAGAACCAGCCCUCGGGCAACAUCUGUUGUGAGCAGCAGCCCCGUUGGCAGGCCCACGAUGAUGGCCCUGGCUGGGCAGACACACCCUGACAUCAGGCACAGCACCCCCAGAGUAGCAGUGUCUCGGGUGGUUGCCAUGGUUUCAGUGGCAGCUGACGAGAGCAGCCUUGGCCAAGUACCAGUUCUUCUGCUCAGUUGGGAGCUUUACUGCAAACUCCAGGGAGACAUUCCCCAGAAGGAGCCCAAGUGGUCACAAGUGGCCAACACAGGAAAGACGUAUUUGCAAACCCAUGUGAAAUACCAACUGGGCACCCCUCCCAAACUUGGUAUCAACUUGCAAGGGUCCCAGUGCUGCUGCCCUGGCAGAGGGAAGCCAGAACCAAGAAGCCUCGCUUUUCACUCAACACAGCCCUGUUUUGGCCUCAGACAUUUGUGGGCUGGGCAAACGAGGUCCGACAGAAUCUCUCCAAAACUUGCAACAGACCAGCCCAUCAUUAUGAGAUAAAUAGUGGCUGGAAAAUAGGAGAUUCAAAACUGAAAGUGCCAGGUUGGCAUCAGAGUUUAACUCAAAGUGCCCUCCAGGCUAUGAGGCCUGCCUUUGCCUAUUCUGUCCAACAUCAGCUGGGAAUUUUCCGAUAUGGGAGAUGACCUGAUCUAAUUAAGGGGAAAUGGUAUUACUGUAGGUCAAAUCAGAGCAAAGUAAGUCAAGAAAAGCAGAAGCUAGCCUGUCAAGGCCUCCCUUCCAAUGCUUACACAAGAGGAGAAAUAAAGGGGUAUUUGCUGAUAAUCAGCUAGAACUAGGGAGUUCCUGCCUAGAAAAUGUUGGCCACUAAAUAACCAUGACCUUAACCGAAGGGCACUGAGCUGAGUUUAGUCGUACUUGCAGAGAGUCUGAAGUUCUCUGAAUGAGAAGAUGUGCCAAGUAUUUCACUGAGGCAUGAAAUCCCCAUCCUCUCUCCGCAGCAUAGAGGGAGGCGGGCGGGAAGAGAGCCUGGGCUCGGGGGAAAGCUUCACGCCCAAAGACUGAGGCCCUACCUCCAGCAAGUCACCAAAUACUCACAACCAGUGGGCAGCAGAGCCAGCCUGGCCAAGGACAUGUUCUGCAAAGAACUUACUAUAUCCACUUGCAGGCUCCCUUUGGGUUUUUUUUUUUUUCCUCCAAGAAGCUGAGAAAAAGGUGGACUGUGACAGCUCUGGGCUGGGAAAGCAUUCUGACUGCAGAAGACAAGUCAGCAUGUGGACACCUUCCUGGAGGCCCCCAGACCCUGACCCACGUCGGCAUGUAUCUCCCUAAACCCCACUUAACCUGGAUGAGUGCCGCUUGAGUUGCUGUUGAACAUCAAAGCCAAAUCCUUCCCGCUCUGAGUGUCAACAAGUUUGGCAGACUUUUGUCCACCAUCCAUUACUUGGGUUAGUUCUAUACUACUCAUCUAGUUGUUGGGUUUCUUCUGCAAAAUUCUAAGCUCUUUUCUCUUUUUGUUUUUCUCAUUCUUCUUCUUCCUUUUUUUUUUUUUUUUUUUUUUUUUUUUUUGGCUGUGCCCGAGGCAUGCGGAUGUUCACAGCAGUGACAACACUGGACCCUUAACCUACUGAGCCACCAGGGAACUCCCCUUUUUCUUCUUUAUAUCUCCUGUCACAGCAAAGGGAAAAGACAGACCCUAAUAAAUUGUGAAAUUGUUUGAAUACAUGUGAUUCAACUGCCAGAGGCAUAAGCCAUCAUCGAGGUAACUUCGGCUAGCCCUGAAAACCCAGGCCCUGCAGAUCCUUUAGGGGAAUGUCCCACAGGAUAAUCACCAGGGCCUGUGUGUCCUGGUGUUGCCAGGACAGAGCCUGUCUUGCAGGAGGAAUCCGGGAGCUAUGUUUUGGGAUUCGUCGUCAUGUGUGGUAGAAAAAGGAGAGGAGAAUGGGAGGAAAGGGGGUUCUGUGAUCUGCAAAAUAACUUUGUAUGUGCCUGCUUCCUCAUCUGCUCCACAUUGCAACACUGAGAAGUGUUUAUUUUACAGAUGAAGAAACCAGAGCUUAUAAAGCUGUGAGAAGUGUACCCGGGUAAAAUUGGAUCUUGGAUCUGACAGACUGCAUCCUGGGCGCUUUCUCACACAGGGCAACCCUCCCAAGGGGAGGGGAGUCAAGGUGAGUGUAUCUUCAGCUCUGUUCGGGGCGCGGGCCUCUGGCUUCUGUGGGCAGGUCUCUCCCCACCUGCUGGCCGCUCGCCUCCCCGCAGCCGUGGGCAAGGGUUCAGUGCUACGGAGAAGCCACAGCAAAGACUCUUAUUUCUCACAGAAGCUUCCCAUCCAAAUCUGGAGGUAGUCAUGGCCUUCCAAACAUACUGCAUCUAUUUAUAGAAAAAAGAAUCAGAUAAGGAAGGGGAUUUCCUGAAGAGAAGGAAAAAGGAAAUCUAGGGGGGUCACAUGGGCACAUGAGGAAUCCCCUUAACCCACUCUCCGCAUGUGUGGAAUCCUGGCUGCAUCAGGCAAAUGCCAACUUUCGCCUUGGAGGUGUUGACAACAAUUGAUACAGAAAAGGCCCGAGGUGGGUCAUCAAACAGGAGUCUCUUUAUGUCAUUUGAGGCUUGCUUGCUAAGGAAUUAGCACCACAUCUUGCCUUUGAUCAACAGCAGAGACUCCAAACCAUUAGGUUCUGUUUUUCCUCUAAUGAGUUUCUUUAAAACCCAAGAAACAAUCUCAGCAUUCUGUUAUUUGAAAUAACAACUGCAGUAAUCAUAGCAAUUUAAGUACAAUUAUAUGGUACCUAAAAUGUGAGACAUUAUUUUAAUUUUAUUCUUGUAAUUACCUAUGAGCUGGUUACUAUUGUAUCCCCAUUUCACAGGUGAGGAAAUUGAGGCAUGAGAGAUUAAAUAUCUUGCCCAAGUCGCAGGGCUAAUGAGUGGCAGAGCCAGGACUCAAACCUAGGCAGUUUGGCCCCCGUGUGGGCACAUAACAAUUCUAGGAGAGAUAUACCACAGUUGUCCCUUGGUAUCCAUGGAAACUGGUUUCAGGACACAACCAUCCCCCACUGCCAUCCCCCUCACUUCAGAAACCAAAAUUCAUAGAUGUUCAAAUCCCUCAUAAAAAAUGGCUUAGUAUUUGCGUCUAACCUACACACAUCCUCCCAUAUACUUUAAAUCAUCUCUAGGUUACUUGUCAGACCUAAUACAAUGUAAAUAGUUGUAAAUACAAUGUAAAUGCUAUGUAAAUAGUUGACAGUGUGCAGCAAAUAUUUGCUUUUUGGAAUUUUUUUGCCAAAUAUUUUUGACCUGAGAUUGGUUUAAUCCAUGAAUGCAGGACCUGUAGAUACAGAGGGGUUGAUUGUUCUCUGAAUUUGAAGGAUAUUCAUUAUAAAAAGAAAAUCAAAUGCAUCAUCAUAAAUACAGCACAGCUGUGGUGGCAUCAAGCUGCGAGCAUCUUUCUUCUUGCCUUUGCUGAAAUUGUGGGGCGGGGGAGGAAUUUAGUGGCCUUAAGAUGAAGUAACAUCUGGUCCCUUGAGUGAACUGCUCUCAUAAUCUCUAUAUUUAGGUCAGAUCUGUAGACUGGCACACAAAAUGACUCCUGGUUCCACAUUCAUCGUUCAGUCCAAGUAUGUGAGACAGUAGAUCCUUAAUUGUUGGCAACCAAGGAAGGGUUAAUGAAGACAGCAAUAGAUAAGACUUUAGGUAAGAGGAAAAGGCUGAAUUAACUGCUGUCAUCUAUAUCACUUGAUGCCUGGAGGCAAGGAGUUGCUAAAGAAGAAAGAAACAGUAUAUUCCUAAUUUCUUUGUUCUGUUCAGAAACAUUUUCCCAGUGAAUCCUUCCACAGCAAACUGUGGCCACUUUUGCUUUGAAGACUCACUCUAAGAGCGCUUUAGGAGUUCCUGCUGUGUCGCAACAGUAUCAGCAGUGUCUUAGGAGCUCUGGGACUCACGUUUAAUCCACGGCCCCGUGCAAUGGGUUAAGGAUCUGGUGUUGCCACAGCUGCGUCUGAGGUCACUACUCCAGCUCGGAUCUGAUCCCUGGCCCGGGAACUCCAUAUGCCACAGGGCAGCCAAAACAGAAAAAGAAAAAAAAAAAGCUCUUUAGGUUUCUGGUGAAAUAUGGCGGGUUUAACACAAACCUAAUAGAUCUAAUAAAAUGUCAGUCACCUCUUGGAGUAAACCAUGAUGGAAGAUUAUCCAAGAAAAGAAAUGUCUAUAUAUAUAUGACUGGAAUAUAUAUGUAUGACCGGGUCAUUUUGUUGUAUAGCAGAAAUUGGCACAACAAUGUAAAUCAGCUAUACUUUAAUAAAAAA